GACGAACGCUGGCGGCGUGCUUAACACAUGCAAGUCGAACGGUGAAGCGCCUUCCUUUUUGGUGGGUGUGGAUGAGUGGCGAACGGGUGAGUAACACGUGAGUAACCUGCCCCCUUCUUCUGGAUAACCGCAUGAAAGUGUGGCUAAUACGGGAUAUUCUGGGUCUGUCGCAUGAUGGGUCUGGGAAAGAUAUUGUUUCGGUGGGGGAUGGGCUCGCGGCCUAUCAGCUUGUUGGUGGGGUGAUGGCCUACCAAGGUGGUGACGGGUAGCCGGCCUGAGAGGGUGGACGGUCACACUGGGACUGAGACACGGCCCAGACUCCUACGGGAGGCAGCAGUGGGGAAUAUUGCACAAUGGGCGCAAGCCUGAUGCAGCGACGCCGCGUGAGGGAUGGAGGCCUUCGGGUUGCGAACCUCUUUCGCCAGUGAAGCAGGCCUGCCUCGUUUGUGGGUGGGUUGACGGUAGCUGGAUAAGAAGCGCCGGCUAACUACGUG
rnacentral:rRNA from 1 species